rnacentral:rRNA from 1 species
UGGAUCCAGACUUUGAUCAUGGCUCAGGAUGAACGCUAGCUACAGGCUUAACACAUGCAAGUCGAGGGGAAACGACAUCGAAAGCUUACUUUUGAUGGGCGUCGACCGGCGCACGGGUGAGUAACGCGUAUCCAACCUGCCCACCACUUGGGGAUAACCUUGCGAAAGUAAGACUAAUACCCAAUGAUAUCUCUAGAAGACAUCUGAAAGAGAUUAAAGAUUUAUCGGUGAUGGAUGGGGAUGCGUCUGAUUAGCUUGUUGGCGGGGUAACGGCCCACCAAGGCAACGAUCAGUAGGGGUUCUGAGAGGAAGGUCCCCCACAUUGGAACUGAGACACGGUCCAAACUCCUACGGGAGGCAGCAGUGAGGAAUAUUGGUCAAUGGACGAGAGUCUGAACCAGCCAAGUAGCGUGCAGGAAGACGGCCCUAUGGGUUGUAAACUGCUUUUAUAAGGGAAUAAAGUGAGAGUCGUGACUCUUUUUGCAUGUACCUUAUGAAUAAGGACCGGCUAAUUCCGUGCCAGCAGCCGCGGUAAUACGGAAGGUCCGGGCGUUAUCCGGAUUUAUUGGGUUUAAAGGGAGCGUAGGCUGGAGAUUAAGCGUGUUGUGAAAUGUAGACGCUCAACGUCUGCACUGCAGCGCGAACUGGUUUCCUUGAGUACGCACAAAGUGGGCGGAAUUCGUGGUGUAGCGGUGAAAUGCUUAGAUAUCACGAAGAACUCCGAUUGCGAAGGCAGCUCACUGGAGCGCAACUGACGCUGAAGCUCGAAAGUGCGGGUAUCGAACAGGAUUAGAUACCCUGGUAGUCCGCACGGUAAACGAUGGAUGCCCGCUGUUGGUCUGAAUAGGUCAGCGGCCAAGCGAAAGCAUUAAGCAUCCCACCUGGGGAGUACGCCGGCAACGGUGCAACUCAAAGGAAUUGACGGA